UCUGUCCAGUCACCAGAAUCAUUUUUGAGAC
rnacentral:piRNA from 1 species